UACGUAGGGGGCAAGCGUUAUCCGGAUUCACUGGGUUUAAAGGGAGCGCAGGCGGGCUGGUAAGUCAGUGGUGAAAUACCCGUGCUUAACAUGGGAACUGCCAUUGAUACUAUUGGUCUUGAAUAUCGUUGAGGUUUGCGGAAUGGGUCAUGUAGCGGUGAAAUGCAUAGAUAUGACCCGGAACACCUAUUGCGAAGGCAGCAGGCUAAGCGAAGAUUGACGCUGAGGCUCUAAAGCGUGGGGAUCAAACAGG
rnacentral:rRNA from 1 species